rnacentral:lncRNA from 1 species
CAGGAGCAACAGCCAUGGGAACCCCUGGGCCCGAGUCUAGCUCGCCGUCGCGUGGAAUCGGCUCCCUGCGGACGGAUCCGUGACCCAACGCCCAUCCCCAAGCCUCCGCCUUGCUGGUACCUUCAGCGCCGAAGCCCAAGCACCGAUGGUAGCCUGUAUCCCCGCCGGUUUCGUGUGUCUGCUGUAAGGACGCCCUGUUCUGAACUGUGCUUCGUUUUGCCCAGAUGCGUUCUAAUUGUCGGCCUUACUAGGAUUUCCAUGUCACUAAUAGCACGAGCACGCCAGCAGCCGAGCUGGCUAGCACCACUCUGUUUCAUCCCAGUCUAUUGACCUGCACCCUGUCGAAGAGCUCUACUUCUGCUUAGAAUCAUUUGCUAUAGCAAAAUAGAUUGCUAGCAGAGUUGGCUAGCGUAGCAACUCUGGUUCCAAGGGGUCUUGGGUUCAAAUCCUAGUUGGCCCAUAUUGUUGUUUUCCUUUGUAUUUUUUUUCUCUCUUUUAAUGCUGUCACGCUUGGGCCUGACCUGUUGCACUGUGUCUUCAGAUUUGGUCGAGUUCUUUUUUUUAUCUACGCUAGGAAUUUAGCUAUUUCAGGUUAUAUGAUAUAGGUGUAUUUUCAAACGCCCGUAGAUUCUAUUCCGUGCGUCGGAUUUCGACGAGUUAGAUAUGUAACUUAGUUAGAAUUUCAUGUAGAUUAACAAUUUCCAACUCUCAUGCAUGCUUAAGGCUGUUAGCUUGCUGUUUGCAUCGGUUUGCAUGUUGACGUAAUAGAAACGAUUUAGGUCAUAGCUAUUUAACCGUAGCUCCGUUGGAGAUGAUCCAUAUAUGUAAACGGGCUAGAACAACGUGUAGUUUCACGUGAACCACUUUCUUUCGUUGUUUAACAAACUUAAAAUGUGAUUAGGACAAAUCUGGACAGAAUUAGAAUUUAACGGGUGGGGUCAUUUCGGAGAUGCUAUAAGUUGUUUCCGGCCUCAUUUAAAAUGCCUAGAUAGGUAGAUUACUUGCGCUUCACCUCUUUCCAUGUUUAACAACAUUUAAUAUUGCCGUGUAUCUAAUCGAGAUAGAACUAAAUAAAUAAACGUGGAGGUUCGUCAAUAUGCAACUCGUUGCAUAUUGACCUUUACUUAAUGUGUAGUGUUUGAUUGUUGUGUUUGUCAUGCCUUGCAUUAGACCGUUCAUGCAUCAUGUGUGUCUUGCAUCGUGUGGUGAAUAUCGUGUGUUGAUUCUUGUUUCCGGUUUCCUUCGUCUCGUUAGAGUUCCGCAAGCGUGUCGGAAAGUGAGGACCCGUUCGACUAUGUCGGUUUGUCUGCUUCACGGAGUCAUUCUUCUUCCAAGCGGGAUCUCAGGCAAGAUGAUCAUUUCCCCAGAUACCAUUACUAUCAUUGCCAUGCUAGUUUUAUCGCUUCUAUCGUUUAUGUCUCGUUUCCUACCACAUGUUAAAUAUCAACCUCUCAUCAAUGCCAUGAAUACCUUCAACCUGUUCGACCUAGCAAACCACUGAUUGUCUAUGUUACUGCUUGCUUAACCCUGUGUAGCGUUGCUAGUUGCAGGUGCAGUUGCUUCCAUGUGUCAACAUGGGUUCCUUGUUAUAUCACCAUAUUUACAUGCUAUUUAAUUUAAUGGACCUAUAUACUUGGUAAAAGGUGGAAGGCUCGGCCUUUCUAGCCUGGUGUUUUGUUCCACCUUUGCCCCCUUAGUUUCCGGCUACCGGUGUUAUGUUCCAUAAUUGAGCGCUCCUAACAUGAUCGGGGUUGUUAUGGGGACCCCCUUGAUAAUUCGUUUUAGAUUAAAGCUGGUUUGGCAAGGCCCAACUUUGGUACUACAUUUUCCUAAACACCUAAUAAAAUUGCAUAGGGACUUCCCGGGACCCGAGGAUAAUUUAAUCAACCCCCGGGCCAGUGCUCCUCAUGAGUGUUGGUCCAAAACAGAGCACUGUGCGGGGCCACCGCGAGGAAACUCGAGGUUUGGCACUUGUACGCGUCGCUUAUCCGUCGUGUCCUGAGAACGAGGUACGCGACUCCUAUCGGGAUCGUCGACACGUCGGGCGGCCUUGCUAGAUUAGUUUUACCUUUGACGAGAUAUCUUGUGCAUCGGGAUUCUGGUGAUGCUUUGAGUAAUCUCAGAGUUGAGGUUUUCCAAUAGGGAAUUGGACGAGAUCGCGAGCUUCGUGAUUGAGGAUUUCUAUGCGGCUUGUGGUAAUUUGUGAUGGACUAGUUGGAGCACCCCUGCAGGGUUAAACCUUUUCGGAAAGCCGUGCACGCGGUUAUGUGGCAACGUGGAAGCUUUGUUUAACACUGGUUCAAGAUAACUUGAAGUUAACUUAAUUAAAAUAUGCCAAUUGUGUGCGUAACCGUGACUGUCUCUUUCGUGUGUUCCUUCUCCGAUCGAGGACACGGUGGGGUUAUGUCCGACGUAGGUAGGUGUUCAGGAUCAUUCAUUUGAUCAUCAGUAGCCACGACCGAUAUGCGUAGAUCUUCCCCCUCUUAUUCUUGUACUCGUAAGUUUAGCCACCAAAUAUAUGCUUAGCCGCUGCUGCAACCUCACCACUUAACCAUACCUCACCCAUUAAGCUUUGCUAGUCUUGAUACCUUUGGAAAUGAGAUUGCUGAGUCCCCUGUGGCUCACAGAUUACUACAACACCAGUUGCAGGUACAGGUAAAGGUUACUUGACGCGAGCGCGUUGAUUGUUCAUUUGGAGUUGCUUCUUCUUCUUCAUCGAUCUAGGAUGGGUUCCAGACCGACAGCCUGGGAUAGCAAGGAUGGACGUCGUUCUUCUUUUGUCAUUUGUUUUCGUCCGUAGUCGGACCCUGCUCUUACUCUUGAUGAUAAUGUAAUGUACUGAUGUGACUCUCAUGUAGCUUGUGGCGAGUGUAAGCCAACUCUGUAUAUAACUCUUCUUUUCAGUACAUGUACUUGUAACGAUAUCCAUUCUUGCGACACGACGAGAUGCGCUUCUAUCCCUGACGAGGCCUUCGUGCCAAAUUAAGGAUAGGGUCGCAUCUUGGGCGUGACAAGUUAAUAUCAGAGCAGUACCGACCUAGGAGCCCCCUUGAUUGAUCGAACUUGGCCGAGUCGAGUCUAGUAAAAAAUACUUUGAGUCUAGUUAUAUAUCGGAGAGUAGGAUUCUUUUUUCUCCUCUUCUAUGCUCUGGUGAGGAAUCUUGACGUAAGAAUUUACUCUACUCCUCUUCCCACUCAAAAAAAUUUAGGAUCACGCGGAUAUUUUUGGAAUCUAUAUGAUGCCGAUGUGACGGAGUUCUGUCUUGGUGCCUCCUGUCUGACUUGAUUUUCUUCCGGGGAGUUGAGCUCCAGGGGAUUCUUGAGCACAUCGUUAUCAUUCAGAUUUCUUAGUAUCUCAGAACGAAGGAUGUUCGUAAUUGCUUCAAUACUAGUAGUGGCGAGAUAACCCCGAUGUCCCCAGUACUGGUGCAGAUUGUUCGGGGAGUACUGCCAUACUUUGUAUCGUUGUGAUCACGAGGGUCUGUUGUAGAUGAAGGUCCGAGAUUCUGGUUGUGUGUUGACGGAUGUGAUACAGGUGACGGGUUAGUAUAGGAGUUGUGUGAUAUUACUCCUUGUAUCCGUGUACCAGAUUGCAUGACCAGAUAUUUCGGGAAUUCAUAGGUGGGAAUUCAAGUAGUUGCUUAUAGGACAAUCUUCCAACAAAUGCAUGAUGUUAGGUUGGGGUUCGACAUCCAGUGGAUUCGUUUGUUCACGGUCGACUUACAGCGGUACACGUUGUGUCUUAAAGAGUCCUUGUAGCUUGCUACGACUCGGGGACGCUUCGUAUGUCGGGUGCACUGCCUUGCACUUGAUGGCUACUGUAAAAUCGUGCCCAUGCGAUCCUGUCCACGAAAAUAUCGGACGAAAUCUUUCUCAUGAGUUUGUUCUGGCUUGCUUCAUAAGCCGCACCCUUUGUUUUGUUGAAUGUGGUAAUUCAAGUUGCUUCGAUGUCAAGCGGUGACUUCAGAUCUUUUCUAAGCAGUGUUCUCAUAUUUCUAUGAGAGUGAUAAUCCUUUUGCUUAAUCAUUUGUCUUAUUAAUUCUUGUCAACCGGAGUCGUCAUGUUAAUUCCAUUCAACGAGUGUGCUUCUCCUCUAGUGAAUUCUAUCCUCUGUAAUUUUGCAAGAUCGUUCUCUCAUUUUAUUCCGGAGUUCAUCUCAUCCGUCCCAAGUUGUCUUUGUUUUUCACCGACCUCCCGCCCUUUUUCUUCGAUGAUUGGAUUUCAUCCAAGUGCAUUUCAUUUCUUGGUGCUUCCGCUGUCUGUUCCUUUCUCUCUUACCCGGUGAUUCGUUGUGAAGAUUCUCAGGAGAUUCGUGUUGAUCUUUAUUCAUUCUUGUCAUCCUUACCGGUGAAUUUAAUUCAGUCGUCUGUGUUCAUCAUAUCAUUUUCAUCCUUGUAAUUAUUUCCUAUGUUGGAAAUUUUUAUCAGUCUAUUUUCUUGUUGUUAUUUCUCUCUAUUCUAUCCGGAGCGUUGAAGUUAUCUCAGAAUUCUUGUUCUCAAUUCUUUAAUUAUUUCGGGGUGCUAACCUCAUCUAGUUCUCUUCAUACCGGUGCAAUAUCUAUCGUUCUAAGAAAUCUUUUCAUCGAUGGUUUCUUUGAGUGGGCCCAUAACCCACAGGUUCUUUCCCAGGAUCUUUCCUGGCUCUUUUUUUAAUCUUUCCGGAGAUCUUUAAUUCCUUUCAACUAUGAUGUAAGUAUGAAUUUCAUCAGUCAUAUCCCUUCUCCAAGGCCUAUUUGAAUUAAUUCUCAUAUUGGUUCAACCUUUCAUUCUUCAUUAUUCCGGAGUGUCUUAGUAGUUCUUGGUGUUGUUUCUCGUCAUCAUUCUCAGCUUCGUGUUAUCCUCUCAUUGUUGUCAAUCAUGAGUAAUCUCUUUCUUGCUAUCCGGUGUUUUUCUGAGUUGUUUUCAUUCUCGAUCCUCCGAAGCCAUCAUUUUAGAAGAUUCUUCGUUCUCAGCUUUCAGCUUUCAUCCUCAAAUCUUCUUAAUUGUUGCCUCUUCGUUCGUCUCUCAAUUUUUCCGGUGCUUUGUUCAAGUUUUCUUUCAGGUGGAUCAUGAUCUCUUCAUUCUCAUGUAUCUCCAUUAAUUCUUGGUAUCCCCAUUCAAUUGUCAAUUCUUACCGGUGCUUCCUUCAAUUAUGCUUCAAGUGGUGUUUUUCCUCUCUGUCUCUCCAAGAGUCUUUCAAGAAGAAUAAGUGGUAUGCUAAAUCCGUUGCUUGUCAUCAAUUUAACUUGAUGAAGGAUGAGCAUAACAUAAUUCUUAUUCUUGUUAAUAAUAAUCUGAAUUCUUCUUCCGGAGUGGCUCAUGAUAUCAAUUCUUUUCUCAAGUGCCUAUCUUUCUUUUCCGGAGUUCCAAGUUCUUUUAGUAUCUCUUUGUGAGGCUUCAUCUUAAUUUUGGCAAGGUCAUAAUCUUAUUCUUUCAUUCUUCAUAUCUUUGCAUCAUUUAUUUGUAUACGGAGGUCCUUCAUGGUGAUUCAUCAAGGUUUCAAUUCAUUCUCAAGUGUUCUUCAAGAUUCUUGUUGGAGAACCUCAAGUAUCCUUUCUCUUGCGUUUCUAUGUGCAAUUGUUCUUCCUUUAUCCUUUGAGGUGGUAUUAUAGCAUUCUUGUUAGUGUAGGAGUCUCGAAGAGAUUUUAUCUCAAGAAUGAGAUAAUUAAACCCACCAAUUCUAUGAUCAUGAGAUAUUUCAACCCAUGAUUUCUUCAUUGAGCUAUCUUGGUUUGGAUUUCACCUAAAGCUUUUCCUAUGGAUUGUUGCUAUCAUGGUGCUUGUCAUUAAUCCAAGUUCUCAAUGUAUUCUCUUGGUGUAAGAAAUUGUUCAUAUCUUGUUUCUCCCAAUCAGUCCUUGUUUCUGUUAGUGGUUGGUUGUCACUUCAUUAGUUUGAAAAGGUUUCCAUAAGCCCACUACUAUCUUGUUCUUUUCGUUGUUGUUUUUCCAACAACUUCGUUCAAUUCUUCUUGCAAGGAUGCUUGCUAAGUUCAUCGGAGUUAGUAGUUGUCAUUCUUUCUUCAUUCUCUUCUUCCUUAUGAGCUAGUUCCUAUUCUAUUGUUCCGGAGGCAUUGUGAUAUUGCUCUUUUGGGUCUAUUAUGUUGUUCUACCAAGAUCAUGGUGUUCCCUUACUCUAUUUAGUUGUUUGUUAUGAAUAUUGUCUAUUUCUUCCAUCUUAUCGAAUUUUUUGUCCCAUUUUCCUAUCGAAGUGCUGCCGAAAUUUUCCGUGAAUUCUUGCUUCCUUCUCAUAUCAUUUCUCAUCGCCUUGCAACCUUCAAGGAUCGUUGGUUUCACUCGUUUGUCAAAGAAGCGACUAAGUUGUUACCUCCUGUUCCUUCUCACCCUCUCCCCCUUUCAUUCUUGGAUCUCGGGGCGAGAUCCUCUUGUAGUGUAGGAGAGUUGUGACAGCCCGAUGCCGACGUUCCAGAAGAUUCCCCUUCUAUUCCGUUUUUGUCGUGUGAUUUAUUUUAUUUGCCGCAUCAUCAUUGCAUCAUGCGCAUCAUCUGCAUUGCAUCGGCAUCUCCAUUGCCGCCAGUUUUCAAAACUUGCAUCCGUUGUUAGUUGCCGGUUAUCGUCGUUGUUCGUUUCGAGCCUGACCGCACUCGCACGCGCCCGCGGCACCGUCGUAACCCUAUUUUUAAAGUGUGCAUAAAACUUCCUCUGAUCGGGUUGAGAUUUAAUGUGCCGUCUUAUUUUAAUAUAGCUAGGCCGCCUGUCGAAUUUCGUCGCGAUCGGAGUCCGUCUGGUACCCGAACGGUCGACCGUAGCGGCACCGUCUCCGGUCUUACGUCGGACGUCUGUCGGUGUUUUAAAAUACGUUGCCGGGUCGCCCGUUUUCCCUCUCAUCUUCGCCUAGCCCCUUUGCACAGUGCGUCGACCCUACGCGCGGCCCAGCCCGAAAACCUCCCGAAACCUGAACGGGGCGGUCGUGACCGUUGGAUCCGGUUCAACCCCGUUUUACCGCAAAUCGUCGUCGAUUUGUCCACUGGACUCCCUAACCUGCCUAUUUCCAACCGUCUAAUUAAAUCGAAGGGUCCUGAGCUAGUUUAUAUUUUUUUUAUAUAGAUCAACCGUGCCAACCCUAAAAUUUAGGGACAAAUUCCCCUGUCCCAUCCGCCGCCGCCGCACACCACUUGGUCUCCUCCUCUCUCAAUUUCCCCACCGAGCCAAUCCCCUCCAUCUCGCAUCAGCGCCGCCCCUGCUGUCUUCUACCUCGGGAUCCCCAGAUGCAGCCAGCCAUCGGAGCCAUGCCCCGUGCCCGGCAGCACCCAUGCGCCCGAGCCUCGCUCGAGCCACGAUGCUGGAGCCCCCGCCUUCGCCCACAUCCGGCGAGCUCUGUCUGAGCGCCCCCGGCCUCCUUCGUGCUCGCCACGGUCGGUUCGAAAUCGACUCCCAACCCCGCGUACGAGGAGCUCAUCCAGCUGCAGCGCCGUCUCAAGCAUGGAGCAGGAGCAGUAGCAUCCGACGCCCAUGGAAGCCGCGCCGCAGGUCCAUGCCAUGCCCGGUCUUCUCCUUCCUCUGUUUUAUUCCUUUCUUCUCUCCCUAAUCCCUCUCUCUCCAGGGAACCAGCUGCGCUAAGAGCUCCCCUUCCCCUGCGCGUAUGGUCGCAUCCGCCCGCGCGAGCCUGCUGCUCUGCACCGAUGUAGCGCACAAGAACGUCUCCUUCUGCAGCAAGCGAGCCCACCCGGAGCUCCCUCAUGUGCGUCGUUCUGAACAUUCAUGCAUUAGCCCCGCAGCCCCGCCGCCUCGUGCCCUGGCCGGAGGUCGGAAUCGGUGACCCCGCGCCGCCAGAAGCCGCUCCAGGCUAGAACCUCUCCCGUUCCCCUCUCCUUCCUGCUCUCCUUCCUCCUCAUGUUGAUUCCCUCUCUCUCUCUCUUAUAUUUUUCUCUGAACUUGUCUGAACCAGGAGCAGCAGCCAUGGGAACCCCUGGGCCCGAGUCUAGCUCGCGUCGCGUGGAAUCGGCUCCCUGCGGACGGAUCCGUGACCCAACGCCCAUCCCCAAGCCUCCGCCUUGCUGGUACCUUCAGCGCCGAAGCCCAAGCACCGAUGGUAGCCUGUAUCCCCGCCGGUUUCGUGUGUCUGCUGUAAGGACGCCCUGUUCUGAACUGUGCUUUGUUUUGCCCAGAUGCGUUCUAAUUGUCGGCCUUACUAGGAUUUCCAUGUCACUAAUAGCACGAGCACGCCAGCAGCCGAGCUGGCUAGCACCACUCUGUUUCAUCCCAGAGGUCUGGGGUUCGAAUACUACAUUUGCCAAUUAUUUUUUCCCUGUAUCUAUUGACCUGCACCCUGUCGAAGAGCUCUACUUCUGCUUAGAAUCAUUUGCUAUAGCAAAAUAGAUUGCUAGCAGAGUUGGCUAGCGUAGCAACUCUGGUUCCAAGGGGUCUUGGGUUCAAAUCCUAGUUGGCCCAUAUUGUUGUUUUCCUUUGUAUUUUUUUUCUCUCUUUUAAUGCUGUCACGCUUGGGCCUGACCUGUUGCACUGUGUCUUCAGAUUUGGUCGAGUUCUUUUUUUUAUCUACGCUAGGAAUUUAGCUAUUUCAGGUUAUAUGAUAUAGGUGUAUUUUCAAACGCCCGUAGAUUCUAUUCCGUGCGUCGGAUUUCGACGAGUUAGAUAUGUAACUUAGCUAGAAUUUCAUGUAGAUUAACAAUUUCCAACUCUCAUGCAUGCUUAAGGCUGUUAGCUUGCUGUUUGCAUCGGUUUGCAUGUUGACGUAAUAGAAACGAUUUAGGUCAUAGCUAUUUAACCGUAGCUCCGUUGGAGAUGAUCCAUAUAUGUAAACGGGCUAGAACAACGUGUAGUUUCACGUGAACCACUUUCUUUCGUUGUUUAACAAACUUAAAAUGUGAUUAGGACAAAUCUGGACAGAAUUAGAAUUUAACGGGUGGGGUCAUUUCGGAGAUGCUAUAAGUUGUUUCCGGCCUCAUUUAAAAUGCCUAGAUAGGUAGAUUACUUGCGCUUCACCUCUUUCCAUGUUUAACAACAUUUAAUAUUGCCGUGUAUCUAAUCGAGAUAGAACUAAAUAAAUAAACGUGGAGUUUCGUCAAUAUGCAACUCGUUGCAUAUUGAGCUUCACUUAAUGUGUAGUGUUUGAUUGUUGUGUUUGUGAUGCCUUGCAUUAGACCGUUCAUGCAUCAUGUGUGUCUUGCAUCGUGUGAUGAAUAUCGUGUGUUGAUUCUUGUUUCUGGUUUCCUUCGUCUCGUUAGAGUUCCGCAAGCGUGUCGGAAAGUGAGGACCCGUUCGACU